AUGUGUUAACGUAGAUUGCUGGGAGAAUGUUGUGUCAGUCUUUGUGGACAGCUCAGAGAUUUCUUCAGCUGGAGUACCUUUGUGGCAUCAGUUAUUCAUUGGGCCAGUGACAGACUGGCAUGUGAGAAGAAACUGAAGCCCUGGGUUUCUGAGACAGAAUAGGGCUGGCUGAAGAGUCAUGCUGUGGCAUCGAAGCAGGUUCCUGACGGGAUGAGGGAGAUCGGCUGGUGUUUGUGGGAGCCGACGGGAGGUGAAACGAUCCAUCUGGGAAGCCUCCCAUGUCGCCGAUGGCCCCGGAGCGUAGAUGAGGCAACACCAGUGCUACGGAGGCAGAGGUAGGAAAUGACACACGGUGUUUGUGCUAGGAGCCACACUAGUAGCUUAAAAUGCUGUGGUUUUUAUUUUCCCCUCUGCAGUAGAGGGAAAUAAGUGCACGAAUAACCCACGGGGGAGGCAGAUCCUGGAAAAAGCCUCCAGCUUCCAACUUCCCGUCCGGGAAAGCACCCUUCUUC